rnacentral:rRNA from 1 species
CCUACGGGAGGCUGCAGUGAGGAAUAUUGGUCAAUGGGCGCGAGCCUGAACCAGCCAAGUAGCGUGAAGGAUGACUGCCCUACGGGUUGUAAACUCCUUUUAUAAAGGAAUAAAGUGAGGCACGUGUGCCAUUUUGUAUGUACUUUAUGAAUAAGGAUCGGCUAACUCCGUGCCAGCAGCCGCGGUAAUACGGCGGAUCCGAGCGUUAACCGGUUUUAUUGGGUUUAAAGGGGGCGUAGAUGGGUUGUUAAGUCAGUUGUGAAAGUUUGCGGCUCAACCGUAAAAUUGCAAUUGAUACUGGCAGGCUGGAGUACAGUUGAGGUAGGCGGAAUUCGUGGUGUAGCGGUGAAAUGCGUAGAUAUCACGAAGAACACCGAUUGCGAAGGCAGCUUACUAAACUGCCACUGACAUUGAUGCACGAAAGUGUGGGUAUCAAACAGGAGUAGAUACCCUUGUAGUC